AGCGAACGCUGGCGGCAGGCCUAACACAUGCAAGUCGAACGAACCCUUCGGGGUUAGUGGCGGACGGGUGAGUAACACGUGGGAACGUGCCUUUAGGUUCGGAAUAACUCAGGGAAACUUGUGCUAAUACCGAAUGUGCCCUUCGGGGGAAAGAUUUAUCGCCUUUAGAGCGGCCCGCGUCUGAUUAGCUAGUUGGUGAGGUAAUGGCUCACCAAGGCUACGAUCAGUAGCUGGUCUGAGAGGAUGACCAGCCACAUUGGGACUGAGACACGGCCCAAACUCCUACGGGAGGCAGCAGUGGGGAAUCUUGCGCAAUGGGCGAAAACCUGACGCAGCCAUGCCGCGUGGAUGAUGAAGGUCUUAGGACUGUAAAAUCCUUUCACCGGUGAAGAUAAUGACUGUAGCCGGAGAAGAAGCCCCGGCUAACUUCGUGCCAGCAGCCGCAGUAACAC
rnacentral:rRNA from 1 species